UCCGGUUUAACACCGGCAGUCUCGCUAGAGUGAUAAGCCUAACUGUUAGCAACUAACGACAAGGGUUGCGCUCGUUGCGGGACUUAACCCAACAUCUCACGACACGAGCUGACGACAGCCAUGCAGCACCUGGACAUCCAGUUCCCUUGCGGGCACAUCCACAUCUCUGCGGACUUCUGGAGGGUUCCAACCCAGGUAAGGUUCUUCGCGUUGCGUCGAAUUAAACCACAUACUCCACCGCUUGUGCGGGCCCCCGUCAAUUCCUUUGAGUUUCAGUCUUGCGACCGUACUCCCCAGGCGGCGAACUUAACGCGUUAGCUUCGAUACUGCGUGCCAAAUUGCACCCAACAUCCAGUUCGCAUCGUUUAGGGCGUGGACUAC
rnacentral:misc_RNA from 1 species